rnacentral:rRNA from 1 species
CCUACGGGUGGCAGCAGUGAGGAAUAUUGGUCAAUGGACGAGAGUCUGAACCAGCCAAGUAGCGUGAAGGAUGACUGCCCUAUGGGUUGUAAACUUCUUUUAUAUGGGAAUAAAAUGUUCCACGUGUGGGAUUUUGUAUGUACCAUAUGAAUAAGGAUCGGCUAACUCCGUGCCAGCAGCCGUGGUAAUACGGAGGAUCCGAGCGUUCUCCGGAUUUAUUGGGUUUAAAGGGAGCGUAGGUGGAUUGUUAAGUCAGUUGUGAAAGUUUGCGGCUCAACCGUAAAAUUGCAGUUGAAACUGGCAGUCUUGAGUACAGUAGAGGUGGGCGGAAUUCGUGGUGUAGCGGUGAAAUGCUUAGAUAUCACGAAGAACUCCGAUUGCGAAGGCAGUUCACUGGACUGCAACUGACACUGAGGCUCGAAAGUGUGGGUAUCAAACAGGAUUAGAUACCCCAGUAGUC